rnacentral:rRNA from 1 species
UACGUAGGGUGCGAGCGUUGUCCGGAAUUAUUGGGCGUAAAGAGCUCGUAGGCGGUUUGUCGCGUCGGCCGUGAAAUCUCCACGCUUAACGUGGAGCGUGCGGUCGAUACGGGCAGACUUGAGUUCGGUAGGGGAGACUGGAAUUCCUGGUGUAGCGGUGAAAUGCGCAGAUAUCAGGAGGAACACCGGUGGCGAAGGCGGGUCUCUGGAACGGUACUGACGCUGAGACGCGAAAGCGUGGGGAGCGAACAGG